rnacentral:lncRNA from 10 species
GGUGGCCAUCUUUAAGCCAGGAAAAAAAAAAGCCUCACCAGACACUAAUCCUGCUAGCACCUUGAUUUUGGACUUCUACCUUCCAGAACUCUGACUUCAACAUUCCAAGCAUUAAUUAAUUUAAAAAAGACAUCAGAAGCCAUGCCAGAGAGACUCUUUGUCACAGUCUGAUUAUGAAUCUGGAAUGACAAGAAGAAAAAUUUGAACACAAAGAGACACCAAAGAUGCUAGUGCAGAUAAGAGACCAUGUGAGGACAGUGAGAAGACAGCUCCUUGCAACUUAGGAGGGAGGCCUCAGAAGAAACCAACCCUGGUGACAUAUUGAUCUCAAACACCUCGCCCUAGAAUUGUGAGGAAAUACAUUUUUGUUGUUGAAGUCACACAAUCUGUGGUAUCUUGUUACACCAGCUCUGGAAAACGAAUACAGGUGAGGAAAUGAGGACAAACAUGAGAAGACAGUGAGAGAGAAGGCUAGUCAGCAAGAGAAGGCCAUUCCUACACCCUCUGCCCUGCUAAAUUCUCCUUAGAGAUCAUCACCCUGUCCUAGGUUCCAUUCAGACCCUAAAGUGUGAGUUUCUUGCUAUAAUCAAUUUUUUAACAUAUAAGAACUAUAUUAAAAAAAAAAUCCCAAGCCACUGGAAUCCCCCUGCCCUCUCCUACUCCGACUCCUAAGAAGGAAAGCCCCAGUCAUAAUGAGGAAUGGGGUUGGAGUGGGGAAGUGGUGAUAUGAGGGGAGGGCACUCAAGGAAACUGAGGGAAACAAAAUCAAUAUAUCAAUAUGCAUUUUAACAAACAAAAGAUAUGGAGAUGCCAGGAUGUCAUCUUUCCAGAGAGGAGAGCUUCAGGCUUGAGAAGAGUGCAAGGAGGAGAGUAAAUGAUGAGCCACUGCCUUGGGCUCUGAGACUUGGGCUCCACUGAUGUGUAAAGCAGAUCUUUCAGAACUUUCAUUGCAUGUUGUUGACGGUAUACACAUAACUACUGAAUUUUUUUUUUCUUUUUUUUUAUUAUACUUUAAGUUUUAGGGUACAUGUGCACAUUGUGCAGGUUAGUUACAUAUGUAUACAUGUGCCAUGCUGGUGCAUUGCACCCACUAACUCGUCAUCUAGCAUUAGGUAUAUCUCCCGAUGUUAUCCCU